rnacentral:rRNA from 1 species
GAUGAACGCUGGCGGCGUGCUUAACACAUGCAAGUCGAACGAAGCAUUUAAGACAGAUUACUUCGGUUUGAAGUCUUUUAUGACUGAGUGGCGGACGGGUGAGUAACGCGUGGGUAACCUGCCUCAUACAGGGGGAUAGCAGCUGGAAACGGCUGGUAAUACCGCAUAAGCGCACAGUACCACAUGGUACAGUGUGAAAAACUCCGGUGGUAUGAGAUGGACCCGCGUCUGAUUAGCUUGUUGGCGGGGUAACGGCCCACCAAGGCGACGAUCAGUAGCCGACCUGAGAGGGGGACCGGCCACAUUGGGACUGAGACACGGCCCAGACUCCUACGGGAGGCAGCAGUGGGGAAUAUUGCACAAUGGAGGAAACUCUGAUGCAGCGACGCCGCGUGAGUGAAGAAGUAGUUCGCUAUGUAAAGCUCUAUCAGCAGGGAAGAUAGUGACGGUACCUGACUAAGAAGCUCCGGCUAAAUACGUG